AGUGAACGCUGGCGGUAGGCCUAACACAUGCAAGUCGAACGGCAGCACAGUAAGAGCUUGCUCUUACGGGUGGCGAGUGGCGGACGGGUGAGGCAUACAUCGGAAUCUACUUUUUCGUGGGUGAUAACGUAGGGAAACUUACGCUAAUACCGCAUACGACCUACGGGUGAAAGCAGGGGAUCUUCGGACCUUGCGCGAUUGAAUUAGCCGAUGUCGGAUUAGCUAGUUGGCGGGGUAAAGGCCCACCAAGGCGACGAUCCGUAGCUGGUCUGAGAGGAUGAUCAGCCACACUGGAACUGAGACACGGUCCAGACUCCUACGGGAGGCAGCAGUGGGGAAUAUUGGACAAUGGGCGAAAGCCUGAUCCAGCCAUACCGCGUGAGUGAAGAAGGCCUUCGGGUUGUAAAGCCCUUUUGUUGGGAAAGAAAAGCAGCGGGUUAAUACCCCGCUGUUCUGACGGUACCCAAAGAAUAAGCACCGGCUAACUUCGUG
rnacentral:rRNA from 1 species